AGCGUACACGGUGGAUGCCCUGGCAGUCAGAGGCGAUGAAGGACGUGCUAAUCUGCGAUAAGCGUCGGUAAGGUGAUAUGAACCGUUAUAACCGGCGAUUUCCGAAUGGGGAAACCCAGUGUGAUUCGUCACACUAUCAUUAACUGAAUCCAUAGGUUAAUGAGGCGAACCGGGGGAACUGAAACAUCUAAGUACCCCGAGGAAAAGAAAUCAACCGAGAUUCCCCCAGUAGCGGCGAGCGAACGGGGAGCAGCCCAGAGCCUGAAUCAGUGUGUGUGUUAGUGGAAGCGUCUGGAAAGGCGCGCGAUACAGGGUGACAGCCCCGUACACAAAAAUGCACAUGCUGUGAGCUCGAUGAGUAGGGCGGGACACGUGGUAUCCUGUCUGAAUAUGGGGGGACCAUCCUCCAAGGCUAAAUACUCCUGACUGACCGAUAGUGAACCAGUACCGUGAGGGAAAGGCGAAAAGAACCCCGGCGAGGGGAGUGAAAAAGAACCUGAAACCGUGUACGUACAAGCAGUGGGAGCACAGAGCAAUCUGUGUGACUGCGUACCUUUUGUAUAAUGGGUCAGCGACUUAUAUUCUGUAGCAAGGUUAACCGAAUAGGGGAGCCGAAGGGAAACCGAGUCUUAACUGGGCGUUAAGUUGCAGGGUAUAGACCCGAAACCCGGUGAUCUAGCCAUGGGCAGGUUGAAGGUUGGGUAACACUAACUGGAGGACCGAACCGACUAAUGUUGAAAAAUUAGCGGAUGACUUGUGGCUGGGGGUGAAAGGCCAAUCAAACCGGGAGAUAGCUGGUUCUCCCCGAAAGCUAUUUAGGUAGCGCCUCGUGAAUUCAUCUCCGGGGGUAGAGCACUGUUUCGGCAAGGGGGUCAUCCCGACUUACCAACCCGAUGCAAACUGCGAAUACCGGAGAAUGUUAUCACGGGAGACACACGGCGGGUGCUAACGUCCGUCGUGAAGAGGGAAACAACCCAGACCGCCAGCUAAGGUCCCAAAGUCAUGGUUAAGUGGGAAACGAUGUGGGAAGGCCCAGACAGCCAGGAUGUUGGCUUAGAAGCAGCCAUCAUUUAAAGAAAGCGUAAUAGCUCACUGGUCGAGUCGGCCUGCGCGGAAGAUGUAACGGGGCUAAACCAUGCACCGAAGCUGCGGCAGCGACGCUUAUGCGUUGUUGGGUAGGGGAGCGUUCUGUAAGCCUGUGAAGGUGUACUGUGAGGUAUGCUGGAGGUAUCAGAAGUGCGAAUGCUGACAUAAGUAACGAUAAAGCGGGUGAAAAGCCCGCUCGCCGGAAGACCAAGGGUUCCUGUCCAACGUUAAUCGGGGCAGGGUGAGUCGACCCCUAAGGCGAGGCCGAAAGGCGUAGUCGAUGGGAAACAGGUUAAUAUUCCUGUACUUGGUGUUACUGCGAAGGGGGGACGGAGAAGGCUAUGUUGGCCGGGCGACGGUUGUCCCGGUUUAAGCGUGUAGGCUGGUUUUCCAGGCAAAUCCGGAAAACUAAGGCUGAGGCGUGAUGACGAGGCACUACGGUGCUGAAGCAACAAAUGCCCUGCUUCCAGGAAAAGCCUCUAAGCAUCAGGUAACAUCAAAUCGUACCCCAAACCGACACAGGUGGUCAGGUAGAGAAUACCAAGGCGCUUGAGAGAACUCGGGUGAAGGAACUAGGCAAAAUGGUGCCGUAACUUCGGGAGAAGGCACGCUGAUAUGUAGGUGAAGUCCCUCGCGGAUGGAGCUGAAAUCAGUCGAAGAUACCAGCUGGCUGCAACUGUUUAUUAAAAACACAGCACUGUGCAAACACGAAAGUGGACGUAUACGGUGUGACGCCUGCCCGGUGCCGGAAGGUUAAUUGAUGGGGUCAGCGCAAGCGAAGCUCUUGAUCGAAGCCCCGGUAAACGGCGGCCGUAACUAUAACGGUCCUAAGGUAGCGAAAUUCCUUGUCGGGUAAGUUCCGACCUGCACGAAUGGCGUAAUGAUGGCCAGGCUGUCUCCACCCGAGACUCAGUGAAAUUGAACUCGCUGUGAAGAUGCAGUGUACCCGCGGCAAGACGGAAAGACCCCGUGAACCUUUACUAUAGCUUGACACUGAACAUUGAGCCUUGAUGUGUAGGAUAGGUGGGAGGCUUUGAAGUGUGGACGCCAGUCUGCAUGGAGCCGACCUUGAAAUACCACCCUUUAAUGUUUGAUGUUCUAACGUGGACCCGUGAUCCGGGUUGCGGACAGUGUCUGGUGGGUAGUUUGACUGGGGCGGUCUCCUCCUAAAGAGUAACGGAGGAGCACGAAGGUUGGCUAAUCCUGGUCGGACAUCAGGAGGUUAGUGCAAUGGCAUAAGCCAGCUUGACUGCGAGCGUGACGGCGCGAGCAGGUGCGAAAGCAGGUCAUAGUGAUCCGGUGGUUCUGAAUGGAAGGGCCAUCGCUCAACGGAUAAAAGGUACUCCGGGGAUAACAGGCUGAUACCGCCCAAGAGUUCAUAUCGACGGCGGUGUUUGGCACCUCGAUGUCGGCUCAUCACAUCCUGGGGCUGAAGUAGGUCCCAAGGGUAUGGCUGUUCGCCAUUUAAAGUGGUACGCGAGCUGGGUUUAGAACGUCGUGAGACAGUUCGGUCCCUAUCUGCCGUGGGCGCUGGAGAACUGAGGGGGGCUGCUCCUAGUACGAGAGGACCGGAGUGGACGCAUCACUGGUGUUCGGGUUGUCAUGCCAAUGGCACUGCCCGGUAGCUAAAUGCGGAAGAGAUAAGUGCUGAAAGCAUCUAAGCACGAAACUUGCCCCGAGAUGAGUUCUCCCUGACUCCUUGA
rnacentral:rRNA from 1 species